rnacentral:rRNA from 1 species
UGCCAGCCGCCGCGGUAAUACGGGGGAUGCAAGCGUUAUCCGGAAUCAUUGGGUUUAAAGGGUCCGUAGGCGGGAAUCUAAGUCAGUGGUGAAAUCUUGCAGCUCAACUGUAAAAUUGCCAUUGAUACUGGAUUUCUUGAAUUAGUGUGAAGUGGUUAGAAUGUGUAGUGUAGCGGUGAAAUGCAUAGAUAUUACACAGAAUACCAAUUGCGAAGGCAGAUCACUAACACUAUAUUGACGGUGAGGGAUGAAAGCUGGGGGAGCAAACCGGAUUAGAUA